rnacentral:rRNA from 1 species
GAUGAACGCUGGCGGCGUGCCUAACACAUGCAAGUCGAGCGAUUUACUUCGGUAAAGAGCGGCGGACGGGUGAGUAACGCGUGGGUAACCUGCCUCAUACACAUGGAUAACAUACCGAAAGUUAUGCUAAUACAAGAUGAUCUAAGAGAUUCGCAUGGAUUUCUUAUCAAAGCCCCGGCGGUAUGAGAUGGACCCGCGUCUGAUUAGCUAGUUGGUAAGGUAACGGCUUACCAAGGCGACGACCAGUAGCCGACCUGAGACGGUGAUCGGCCACAUUGGAACUGAGACACGGUCCAAACUCCUACGGGAGGCAGCAGUGGGGAAUAUUGCACAAUGGGCGAAAGCCUGAUGCAGCAACGCCGCGUGGGCGAUGAAGGCCUUCGGGUCGUAAAGCUCUGUCCUCAAGGAAGAUAAUGACGGUACUUGAGGAGGAAGCCCCGGCUAACUACGUGCCAGCCGCCGCGGUAAUAC